AACGCUCGGUCGGUCGCCUCGCUCGCGUCGCUAGGCACCCAGGCCCACCACCCACAAAGCUUAUCUCUCUAUCCCCACCGCUUUCAUCUUAUCCCCUCGUAGUCUCUGGAGACAACACGAAGACGUCUUCGUGCUGCUCGUCCUUGAAUCCCCUCGUCCACAAUCUCUCUUCCCUCUCCUUUGUGUGCUCUCUCCAGGAAUUCACACACAAUCCUCAUGAAAUUGAGCUUGUUUUUGUUGCUUCUCUACUCCCCGCAACAUUUCCACCAUAGAUCCAUGAGAGGGGAUGAGUUCGUUGGUGUCUUUUGUUUUUUCAUUCAUGGCCUGCGCAGUUGCCAUGGAUCCCACGAGGUUGAGCUCAAAUACAUGUGGGACACACACCCUCUCCUCCUGGGAAAGGAGGUUGAUGUUCUCUCUUGCCGUUCAUCUUUUGGAGCUGCCAGCAAUGGGCACGACGACCGCGCUGCUAGAUCAGGCACCGCUGCAUCACCAUGGUGCGCGACGGCGGCGACCGGCGCCUGCUGAGGAAGCGAUGUGGGAACCAGCACGCCUCGUAGCUGGAACCAGCCAACUGGGAAGCUGCAACCGGCAUCCCCUGAUGCUGGAAGGUGGAAGCAGUGUCCCCUGAUGCUUGAACCGGAUGCGCCUUCACCACGCGAUGCGUUUUUGGCUGGAAGCAAUGUUUGUUUUUGCUGAUUUUUUUUUCCAUGGCAGUGUAAGUCGAUGAGCCGGCGACGGGGGCAUCGGGGAUGUUACAACCAUGUCGACCGUGCUGUGGAACCCGCCUAUGUUCGAGCUGCAACCAUGCCGAGCGGAGGCAGCCGAGGCGAGUGGCACGAGCGGCCGGUGAGCGCGGUGGCACGAAUGACCGGCAAGCAUGAGAAGCCGAGGACAAGUGCGGGCGGCUGGUGGGCGCGUGUGGAGUCCGGCCGAGAAGCACGCCUAACUACCUUUUUCCUGCAUGUUUGACUUUUGGGGACGAAGAAAAAAACUAUAUCGUACGGUUAAAAAUGGCUGUAUCGUACGCUCGACAACCGACCGGCCUAAAUUUGGGCCGGCGCCGGCGCGCCUAGCGCCGUCCUUUUUUAAUGUUCGAAAGAGAUAUUUCCGAGUUUUUUUUUAAAAAAAAUCAUGUGAACCUC